rnacentral:misc_RNA from 1 species
GAUGAAGAACGCAGCGAAAUGCGAUAAGUAGUGUGAAUUGCAGAAUUCAGUGAAUCAUCGAAUCUUUGAACGCACAUUGCGCCCCUUGGUAUUCCAUGGGGCAUGCCUGUUCGAGCGUCAUUUGUACCUUCAAGCUCUGCUUGUGUUGGGUGUUUGUCUCGCCUCUGCGUGUAGACUCGCCUCAAAACAAUUGGCAGCCGGCGUAUUGAUUUCGGAGCGCAGUACAUCUCGCGCUUUGCACUCAUAACGACGACGUCCAAAAGUACAUUUUUACACUCUUGACCUCGGAUCAGGUAGGGAUACCCGCUGAACUUAAGCAUAUCAAUAAGCGGAGGA